rnacentral:misc_RNA from 1 species
AACGCACCUUGCGCUCCUUGGUAUUCCGAGGAGCAUGCCUGUUUGAGUGUCAUUAAAUUCUCAACCUCACCAUCUUUUACCAGUUGGUGUGGGCUUGGAUGUGGGGGUUGCUGGCUUAUAAAAGUCAGCUCUCCUUAAAUGCAUUAGCGGAACCUUUGUGGACCGUCAUUGGUGUGAUAAUUAUCUAUGCCAUUGUCAUGAAGCAGUUUAAUAUAGGGUUCAGCUUCUAACUGUCUAUUGAAUUGGACAACAUAGAACAUUUUGACCUCAAAUCAGGUAGGACUACCCGCUGAACUUAA